rnacentral:piRNA from 1 species
UGGAAAGACAGGAGAAAAACUUUUGU